AUCAUCUGCCACGUUGGACAGAUGGAGGUAAACAGGUUUCGCGUUGUGUUGGGCUGUUAAGUCUCUUACUCUUCGUCUUCUCCGAACGACGACUCUCAUCAAUCAAUACAGUCCUUUACUUCCAAUCAAUACAUUCAUAAUGAUUUCGUUUCGCCUCCCUCUUCUCCUCCUUCUUUAUAUACAGUUCCUCUUUCGCUUUUUCCAAACCAAACUCUAGAUCUCCUCCAACCUCAAUCCAUGGCGAUGAAACCAAAUGGAUUAGCGAAACACCAUGGCGUUUCAUUUUUAAUCCUUCAUCUUGAUUUCAAUUACCAAAACACCAUCGCAGAACAUAUUGGUCAAAAGCUACAGCAGAUGUGAAUUGGUUGCAGCUGUUUCGAGACAGAGUACAUAUUCUACUAUGUCCAGUCGCGGUCAUAUAGAGCACCAGAAGUAAUUUUUGGGACUGGAACUCUUGGAUGGCUUUGUUAUCUCUCAUCAGUAACUAUUUUUCUCAUUUCCUUUCCUCAGUAUAUCAAUGUUUUUCUUUCAUUUUUGACAGAAGCAUGCAUUUUCUUUUUCUUCUUCUGGUCAAUCAGUUUCUUUGUCUUUAUUUGUAAAGGAUGGCGUGGUAUAUUAUAGUUUGUAUUGCAGGUGUGAAUGGAGAUUAUGGUGGUGCUUGAGUAAAUGAAGAGUGAGUUUCUAUAUGUUUUCCCAAUUUUCAUCUCUUUUGGUAAUAAUAAGAUGGUUGAGCUUUGGUUUUAAGAUGUUCCAUUGCAGUCAACUCCCGAGCCAAACUGAGAAUACCUGCAGAGGAAGGAUGGUUGAGCUUUGGUCGUGAUCUGGGAUAUAGACUCAAGUAAUUUGACUUGGCGAUAUCUAUGGACCUGGUCGCUGUCGACCUCUGCUUGUGCAUAUUAUUGUAUAAAAAGGGUUUUAAAACUGAUCAUCAAAAGGAAUGCUUCUUGCUCCAGUGAGAUCUUGAAUGUUGAGCAUUUGAAGCAUGCAUGUGUUUAGACAACGAAGCACAUACAGGAAAAAGGGAAAUAUGGGGAUGCCGUGAUUCCUGUGGCAAGGCGUUAAGGAGACUUAAAGUCGAAGCUACCACUAUGCAGCCUCAAUUGUUACAAGGUUAUUUUAGGAGAAGAUGCAACAACCUUUGAUUUGUUGCUAAUUACUUUAACAUAUUUUAUCAAAAAGUAGCAUUAACACGUAAUUGUUUUUUACAUGCCCAAAUCUUUGUCAACCAGAGAAGGAACUCAAUUGAUAUGUUUUUUUCU